rnacentral:rRNA from 1 species
AACGAACGCUGGCGGCAUGCCUAACACAUGCAAGUCGAACGAGACCUUCGGGUCUAGUGGCGCACGGGUGCGUAACGCGUGGGAAUCUGCCCUUGGGUUCGGAAUAACAGUUAGAAAUGACUGCUAAUACCGGAUGAUGUCUUCGGACCAAAGAUUUAUCGCCCAGGGAUGAGCCCGCGUUGGAUUAGCUAGUUGGUGGGGUAAAGGCCUACCAAGGCGACGAUCCAUAGCUGGUCUGAGAGGAUGAUCAGCCACACUGGGACUGAGACACGGCCCAGACUCCUACGGGAGGCAGCAGUGGGGAAUCUUGGACAAUGGGCGCAAGCCUGAUCCAGCCAUGCCGCGUGAGUGAAGAAGGCCUUAGGGUUGUAAAGCUCUUUUGCCAGGGGCGAUAAUGACGGUACCUGGAGAAUAAGCCCCGGCAAACUUCGUGCCAGCCGCCGCCGUAAAAC